GUAUACUUGACAAAACGCAAAAGAAUCAUCUGAAUAACUCAUUUCAAGUAAAAAGAAAAAAGCCAAGCUGGAAAAACAUAAAAAGGUUACACAUCUUCUGAAUAACCUCUUUCACAAAGUAACUGAGAAAUCAAAUAACCAUAAAACAUUCAAAAGCAAACCUUGUAGAAACAAAUCUCUUUGCUACGCUAACCAGAAAAGUAGUCUCAGAGCUAAAGAUAACCCUGUCUGGACAGUUCCCUGGUGCUGAAGUUCCAGAGCCGGUAAACGCAUGCCUGGGUGCUGCUUUCACUCCUACCACCCUCAGAAAAACCCGGCCUGCCAAGACCGUGAGCAAGAAUAGUAGAACUUCACAAGAGUUCAACAAUUUUUAUGAAUUUCUAAUCCAACCUCAUCAUCCUAUGGGAAACAGAAGACCACCAAGAACAGCCAGCUGAGACAGAAUUUCACUGUGUUGCCCAAGCCAAUCUUAAACUCCUGGUCUCAAGCGAUCCUCCUGCCUUGGCCUCCCACUGUGCCUGGCCUAUGGACUCUGAAUUUUUUUAAAAGACUGGAAAAAACUUUUAUAAGAGAAUUGGAAAUUUGGACAAUGGAAUCUCAUUCUGUCACCAGGCUGAAGUGCAGUGACGUGAUCUUGGCUCACUGCAACCUCCACCUCCUGGGUUCAAGCGAUUCUCCUGCCUCAGCCUCCUGAGUAGCUGGGAUUACAGGUAUCUUGGCAGUAACCUCCUCCAUAUAUUUCCUUGGCCCUCAGCUUACAUCUAGCAAAAUGACUCUACUGGUUCCAGGCUUCACAUGCAUACAACAUGGUGUUGGAGGAACAGAGAUGUUUUCUCUUCCUGGUGUUUUCCCAGACAUUUCUUAGCUGGCAUUUCAAACAAGGGUCCUGAAAUUCACCCUGGUUGGGUCGUGUUCUCCCCUUCCCAUUCCCCAUCCCCACCCUCAACCGAAAAAUGAUGUAAGCAGGGGAAAUUGAAUGUACCAAUGUUUGUUUUUAAACAAGCCACAGACCCCUCCCCAACUCCCCGACUGAAGCUUGAAGUGGGAUCAGCUUUCCCUAAAGUACUUGAGCUUAUGGUAAAGCAUAUAUGUUAUCCAAGUUAAAGUCUGGACGCUGUUAGUAAUGGGAAGGCAAGUAAUGAAUGUUAGCUAUGGAGCCAACAGACAGUGUCCACUCCAUUGUCUUUAAGGCCCAACUAAAGAUAACCUCUUUACCAAUGUCGGUUUAUUUAUUCAUUUAUUUAUUCAUUGAGAUGGAGUCUCACUCUCUCACCCAAGCUGGAGUGCAGUGGAAUGAUCUCAGCUGACUGCAAUUUCUGCCUCCCAGGUUCAAGCAAUCUCCUGCUUCAGCCUCCCAAGUAGCUGGGAUUACAGGCGCACACCACCAUGCCCGGCUAAUUUUUGUAUUUUUAGUAGAGAUAGGGUUUCACCAUGUUGGCCAAGCUGGUCUCGGACACCUGACCUCAAGUGAUCUGCCUGCCUCGGCCCCCAAAGGUGUGAGCCACUGCACCUGGCUACAAUGUCAGUUUCUAUAAAAACUGCCUUGACUUGUUUUGUUUGCUUGUUUUGUUUGUUUGUGUUUUAAUUUUUAUUAUUUUUUUUUAGAGACAGGGUCUCAAUCUGUUGUCUAGGCUUGAGUGCAGUGGUGCAAUCAUAGCUCACUGAAGUGUUGGACUCCCAGGCUCAAGCAGUCCUCCCACCUCAGCCUCCCAAGUAGCUGAGACUACAGGCAUGCACCACCCUGUCUGGCUAAUUUUUUAUUUUUAGUAGAGAUGAGGUCUCACUAUGUUGCCCAAGGUGGCCUCAAACUCCUGGCCUCAAGUACUCCUGUGGCCUUAGCCUCCCAAAGCUCUGGGAUUGCAGGUAUGAGCCGCCAUGCCUGGCCUACUGUAUAUUUUAUGCAUUUGAUAUAAGUCUUGCCUCCCUAAGUAUAUUACAAGUCCCUUGAAGUUAAAGACAUUAGAUUCCUACUCAGUGCUGAGCUGCAACAGAGAGCACUCAAUGAUGGAUAAAAUAGUUUUAGCAUGCAUUCAGCGAUAUAUAUUUAGAAAGUGGAACUAGGUGGUUGAAAAAAGUGUAUAGAUGGGUGGAAGGGAAUAUUACAGCUCUUAGAAUUGUCCUAAGGUGAGAGUAACAAAUUAAGCAAUGAGUCCCUGGGUUCACUCAAGCAACUUCACUCUCUAAAACAAGAGCCCACAGAAUCCCAUUUCUGCUUUCAGAAUGAGUUUGAGGCCAAUAUUAUUUCCAUUUUUUUUCUUUUUCUUUCUUUCUUUUUUUUUUUUUUUUUUUUGAGACGGAGUUUCACUCUUGUUGCCCAGGCUGUUUUGAUCUCGGCUCACUGCAACCUCUGCCCCUGGGUUCAAGCGAUUCUCCUGUCUCAACCUCCCAAGCUGGGAUUACAAGCAUGCGCUACCACACCUGGCUAAUUUUGUAUUUUUAAUAGAGACGGGGUUUCUCUGUGUUGGUCAGGCUGGUCUCAAACUCCCAACCUCAGGUGAUCUGCCCACCUUGGCCCAGCCUCCAAUAUGAUUUUCUAAUAGCUGUGUUUGAUGAUUAUAUUUAUUCCUCCAUCAGUAGCUUUUUUAGCCUUGAAAAUAUCUAUUUAAGUUUCUUAUUUCCUUUGGAUCUAUCAAAGUGUUUUUCCCCAAGUGGCACCUGGGAAAACAUAUUCUAUUCAUUUAUUUUAUAACUGUUCCCUUGACCUCUUUAUUGCUUCCCUAUUACAACCCAAGAUGCUCUUGUAAACCUGACUUAAUAUUGGCAGUCUUCAUCCCUUGCAAAUGGAAGUGAUGACAGACCCAAUACUUUGUGUAAAAAUAUUUUGCUAUUUCUAUACAAAAUAUUUUAUUAAUGGAAACCACAUGUUAUGUAUUUUACAUAUGUUAUGACUUGAAAUUUAUGUUAUGACUUGAAAUUGGGGAAUCUGAUAUGUCUCUAAUAAUAAAGGCUUCACAGUACAACUGUUGUUUGUAGAUUUACAGAUGGCUGGCAUUUUAAUUUUUUAAUUUAAAUUUUUAAUUCAAAUAUGAUUGACCUGAAAUAUUAACAAAAAUUAUCCUUGAAUUGUUGCACUGCAAAAUAAGAAAGCAAAAUCAGCUAUCUAUGAUGCAACAUUUUAUUUAUAAAUUAAGAUUGUUAGCACUCAUCUAUUGAUUUUUCUCUCUAUUAAACAUACUCCUAAUAAUAAAGGGAAGGAAGGAUCUUUGUAAAGUUAAAUUUACCGUAGCAAAGAAUAGAGGUGAUAAUUAAUAACAUGUUAAAACUCCUU
rnacentral:lncRNA from 10 species